rnacentral:rRNA from 1 species
GUGGGGAAUAUUGGACAAUGGGGGGAACCCUGAUCCAGCCAUGCCGCGUGUGUGAAGAAGGCCUUUUGGUUGUAAAGCACUUUAAGCGAGGAGGAGGCUACCGAGAUUAAUACUCUUGGAUAGUGGACGUUACUCGCAGAAUAAGCACCGGCUAACUCUGUGCCAGCAGCCGCGGUAAUACAGAGGGUGCAAGCGUUAAUCGGAUUUACUGUGCGUAAAGCGCGCGUAGGUGGCCAAUUAAGUCAAAUGUGAAAUCCCCGAGCUUAACUUGGGAAUUGCAGUCGAUACUGGUUGGCUAGAGUAUGGGAGAGGAUGGUAGAAUUCCAGGUGUAGCGGUGAAAUGCGUAGAGAUCUGGAGGAAUACCGAUGGCGAAGGCAGCCAUCUGGCCUAAUACUGACACUGAGGUGCGAAAGCAUGGGGAGCAAACAGGAUUAGAAACCCCAGUAGUCC